GAUGAACGCUAGCGGCAGGCCUAACACAUGCAAGUCGAGGGGUAACAGAAAAGCUUGCUUUUGCUGACGACCGGCGCACGGGUGCGUAACGCGUAUGCAACCUACCUCAUACUGGAGGAUAGCCCCUGGAAACGGGGAUUAAUACUCCAUAGUAUCACAAUUUCGCAUGUUAUUGUGAUUAAAGUUUUUCGGUAUGAGAUGGGCAUGCGUCCCAUUAGCUUGUUGGUGAGGUAACGGCUCACCAAGGCAACGAUGGGUAGGGGGCCUGAGAGGGUGGUCCCCCACACUGGUACUGAGACACGGACCAGACUCCUACGGGAGGCAGCAGUGAGGAAUAUUGGUCAAUGGAGGAAACUCUGAACCAGCCAUGCCGCGUGAAGGAUGACGGCCCUAUGGGUUGUAAACUUCUUUUAUAGAGGAAGAAACUUGUCUACGUGUAGACAACUGACGGUACUCUACGAAUAAGGAUCGGCUAACUCCGUGCCAGCAGCCGCGGUAAUACGGAGGAUCCAAGCGUUAUCCGGAUUCAUUGGGUUUAAAGGGUCCGUAGGCGGAUUUUUAAGUCAGUGGUGAAAGCCGACAGCUCAACUGUCGAACUGCCAUUGAUACUGGAAAUCUUGAGUACAAAUGAAGUAGGCGGAAUGAGUCAUGUAGCGGUGAAAUGCAUAGAUAUGACUCAGAACACCGAUUGCGAAGGCAGCUUACUAACAUGUAACUGACGCUGAGGGACGAAAGCGUGGGGAGCGAACAGGAUUAGAUACCCUGGUAGUCCACGCCGUAAACGAUCAUCACUCGCUGUUGGCGAUAUACUGUCAGCGGCCAAGCGAAAGUAUUAAGUGAUGCACCUGGGGAGUACGCGGGCAACGGUG
rnacentral:rRNA from 1 species